UGGGGAAUUUUGGACAAUGGGCGAAAGCCUGAUCCAGCAAUGCCGCGUGUGUGAAGAAGGCCUUCGGGUUGUAAAGCACUUUUGUCCGGAAAGAAAUCCUUGGCUCUAAUACAGUCGGGGGAUGACGGUACCGGAAGAAUAAGCACCGGCUAACUACGUGCCAGCAGCCGCGGUAAUACGUAGGGUGCAAGCGUUAAUCGGAAUUACUGGGCGUAAAGCGUGCGCAGGCGGUUUGCUAAGACCGAUGUGAAAUCCCCGAGCUCAACCUGGGAACUGCAUUGGUGACUGGCAGGCUAGAGUAUGGCAGAGGGGGGUAGAAUUCCACGUGUAGCAGUGAAAUGCGUAGAGAUGUGGAGGAAUACCGAUGGCGAAGGCAGCCCCCUGGGCCAAUACUGACGCUCAUGCACGAAAGCGUGGGGAGCAAACAGGAUUAGAUACCCUGGUAGUCCACGCCCUAAACGAUGUCAACUAGUUGUUGGGGAUUCAUUUCCUUAGUAACGUAGCUAACGCGUGAAGUUGACCGCCUGGGGAGUACGGUCGCAAGAUUAAAACUCAAAUGAAUUGAC
rnacentral:rRNA from 1 species